rnacentral:misc_RNA from 1 species
GUGAAUCAUCGAAUCUUUGAACGCAAAUUGCACUCUCUGGUAUUCCGGAGAGUAUGCCUGUUUGAGGGUCAGUUUAAAUAAAAAUCGGUAUUUUGUUUCCGCUGUUCUUGGUUACGUAUCUGGUUUAGGUCGUCUUACCUUCGGUUAAGUGACCUAAAAUGUUGCAGGAUUUUCGAACGUAUUUAAAUAAUUUACGUACGUUUGUAAUAGCU